rnacentral:rRNA from 1 species
CAGCACCGACUAAGCGAAAGUGACGGUAGGUGCAGAAGAAGCGCCGGCUAACUACGUGCCAGCAGCCGCGGUAAUACGUAGGGCGCAAGCGUUGUCCGGAAUUAUUGGGCGUAAAGAGCUCGUAGGCGGUUUGUUGCGUCUGUCGUGAAAGCCCACAGCUUAACUGUGGGUCUGCGGUGGAUACGGGCAGACUAGAGGCAGGUAGGGGAGAACGGAAUUCCCGGUGUAGCGGUGAAAUGCGCAGAUAUCGGGAGGAACACCGGUGGCGAAGGCGGUUCUCUGGGCCUGUACUGACGCUGAGGAGCGAAAGCGUGGGGAGCGAACAGGAUUAGAUACCCUGGUAGUCCACGCCGUAAACGUUGGGCGCUAGGUGUGGGGUUCUUCCACGGAUUCCGCGCCGUAGCUAACGCAUUAAGCGCCCCGCCUGGGGAGUACGGCCGCAAGGCUAAAACUCAAAGGAAUUGACGGGGGCCCGCACAAGCGGCGGAGCAUGUUGCUUAAUUCGACGCAACGCGAAGAACCUUACCAAGGCUUGACAUCGCCGGAGAUCCCGUAGAGAUGCGGGGUCCUUUUUGGGCCGGUGACAGGUGGUGCAUGGCUGUCGUCAGCUCGUGUCGUGA